GAACUGCAGUCAAAUUGUGUCGGAUUUAGAAAAUUCGUUAUUCUGGUAUUUUGCAACUCUUAAACUUUGGAAUAUCGUAAUGGAAGAUUCCUUAUGAGGCAUUAUAACGUUACAAGGUAAAAAGUGAUAUGGAUGACAGGCACAAGAAUCCACGGAUAUACCUUAGUGGAGCAAAAAAACGGAAAGCUUUUGAAAAAAAAGAAAAAGGAUCACUUAGAAGUCUUUGCAAAGACUUCCAAACUUGAUAAAUUUUUCCAUGCCACGACUUUAUCUGAUGUAACAGAUGAACGUCAUUUAUUGAAUUCAGKACAGACUGAAAAAUCAUCAUCAGAAACGGAAAAAUUGCUAUUAAACACAAAUUCACAGCAGAACAACGUCAGCGAAAAUGAAGUCGAUACAGCAACUACAGUAGUUUCGGAACAAGAAGAGAAAAAKUACGAUGAUAAAAAUGAUAUUGGGUUCUGGGCAAAUACACUUACGGAAGCAUUGAAAGAUUUUUGGAUCAAACAAGGGUCAACUAAAUUACAGCAGUGCGAAGAAAGAGUUCUAGAAACAUGAUCUGUUCUUCAAUCACGAGAUGAUGGAUACGCAGACCGGAAAUGCAGUAAAAGUCUUUUUCAGCGAACGCUUCCUAAUAAGGAAAAACUUGAUCGUUCUUGGCUUUAUUUUUCACCUUCAACUGGCAAAAUUUACUGCUUUGUUUGUAUCCUGUUAGCUGAAGAACGUGAAUCUCAUUUCAUAAAAAAUGGAUUUUGUGACUGGAGACAUGCUUCAGAACGUGUUGCUGAACAUGAGAAGUCAAAAAGUCAUGUCGAUUCAAUUGUAGCAUAUGCGACCCGGAAAAACCGUAAUGCUUGUUUAGAUCAGGCAAUUCAGCAACAGAUCACACAAAAGACCGCAUACUGGCGUGAAGUAUUAAGAAGGGUUGUCAGCACCAUCAAAUUUCUUGCGGAAUGUGGCUUUUCGUGGCUCCGAUGAAAUUCUUGGCUCACCCAAUAAWGGAAAUUUUCUUGGAAUACURGAACUUCUAGCUCAGUAUGACCCCWUUUUSGCCGGACACAKCAAGGAACACGGAAAUAAGGGACGAGGACACGUAAAUUAUUUAUCCUCAACAAUAUGCGAGGAAAUUAUAACUUUGAUGGGGAAAAAAGUACAGGCAGAAAUAAUCAGCAGUAUAAAAAAAAAAAAAAAAAAUACUAUUCAAUAUCUGUUGAUUCAUCACCUGAUGAAGCACACAUCGAUCAAUUAACCAUUACUAUCAGAUACAUGGAAGGCUUGAAUCCAGUUGAACGAUUUUUAACUUUUAUUUCAAAUGGUGGUGACACAGGGUAAGAGAUGGCGAAUGCCCUUCUUUAGUUCCUAAUAAAACAUAGUAUUGACAUACAAGACUGCCCUGGUCAGUCGUACGAUACUGCUGCACCCAACAUGAGCGGCAAGUACAAAGGCAUGCAGGCAAGAAUUUCAGAAGAUAAUAAUAAUGCGGAUU